UACGUAGGGUGCAAGCGUUAAUCGGAAUUACUGGGCGUAAAGCGUGCGCAGGCGGUUUUGUAAGUUUGUCGUGAAAUCCCCGGGCUCAACCUGGGAAUUGCGAUGAAGACUGCAAGGCUAGAAUCUGGCAGAGGGGGGUAGAGUUCCACGUGUAGCAGUGAAAUGCGUAGAGAUGUGGAGGAACACCGAUGGCGAAGGCAGCCCCCUGGGUCAAGAUUGACGCUCAUGCACGAAAGCGUGGGGAGCAAACAGG
rnacentral:rRNA from 1 species